rnacentral:rRNA from 1 species
AUGGCUCAGGACGAACGCUGGCGGCGUGCCUAACACAUGCAAGUCGAGCGAGGAGAUCCUUCGGGAUGAUCCUAGCGGCGGACGGGUGAGUAACACGUGGGCAACCUGCCUCAUAGAGAGGAAUAGCCUUCCGAAAGGGAGAUUAAUACCUCAUAACAUUGCAGUUUCGCAUGGAACAGCAAUUAAAGGAGCAAUCCGCUAUGAGAUGGGCCCGCGGCGCAUUAGCUAGUUGGUGAGGUAACGGCUCACCAAGGCGACGAUGCGUAGCCGACCUGAGAGGGUGAUCGGCCACAUUGGGACUGAGACACGGCCCAGACUCCUACGGGAGGCAGCAGUGGGGAAUAUUGCACAAUGGGGGAAACCCUGAUGCCAGCAACGCCGCGUGAGUGAUGACGGCCCUCGGGUUGUAAAGCUCUGUCUUCAGGGACGAUAAUGACGGUACCUGAGGAGGAAGCCACGGCUAACUACGUGCCAGCCGCCGC